rnacentral:tRNA from 1 species
GCCUCCAUGGUGUAGUCCGGCCAAUCAUCCUGCCUUUUCGAGGCAGGGACGUGGGUUCAAAUCCCGCUGGAGGCA